AGUAGUGUGAUCCCCUGGCCAGUCCCUAAGCACGUGGGUUGGGUUGUCCUGCUUGGCUGCGGAGGGAGUGGAACCUCGAUAUUGGUGGUGUCCAUCGUGGGCAGCGGACUAAUAAAGGCCAUGGCGCCAGCAGAAAUCCUGAACGGGAAGGAGAUCUCCGCCCAUCUCUCUGCCCUGGUCCUAGAGUUACUUGAAACGUAAUUUGGCUCCUGAGUCCUGAGAAUAUUCUGCAUUCCACUUGACCUCUGCCUGUUCUACCCUUGCGGGACAUCUGAAUGCUUAAUUAGCAAAUAAGGGCGAGACUGAAAAAUCAAGUCACUCAGUUGAAGGAGCAAGUACCUGGUUUCACACCACGCCUGGCAAUAUUACAGGUUGGCAACAGAGAUGAUUCCAAUCUUUAUAUAAAUGUGAAGCUGAAGGCUGCUGAAGAGAUUGGGAUCAAAGCCACUCACAUUAAGUUACCAAGAACAACCACAGAAUCUGAGGUGAUGAAGUACAUUACAUCUUUGAAUGAAGACUCUACUGUACAUGGGUUCUUAGUGCAGCUACCUUUAGAUUCAGAG
rnacentral:lncRNA from 1 species